CUCACCACGGUGGUUUCGGAGAGGAUUUGCUGCGGAAAAGCAUGUGGGAAAAGCCUUCGGCCAAAGCCAGUGCCGUCGAGUCCUCCUGCCCUUGCGCAGGGUCGGUGCUGCCAGCCUGGCUCUGCCCGCGCACGGCCGACCGAGGGGGCUGGCAAAGGUCCCUCUCCCGAAACGUCUCUCCAUGGAGCUGCAGCCUCUUUGCGGUUCCCCGAUGCUGUAAGUGCUCUAAGUCCUUUUGCCACUGCAGCCUGCCGUUCACGCUGCACAUCGCUGCUUCUUGCUUGGUGCUGGCUUAACAGCAGCUCAGUGACUGGUAGGAAACAACUGGUGUUUGCCCCAGUCUCCUGCAGGCAGGGCUCGACAGCUGUAGGGAUGGCUUGGGCAUGUCGCUCGUAAAAAUGUUAGCUAACAACUUAUCCCUGAUUUUCUUAAGUCUAAUGCUCGAGAAAUGCAGAACUCCUAAGGGCAUAGGCAUUUGUGGGUGUCUUGGAUUCAGCUCAAAGAUCAUUGCACUAUUUAUUUCGUACUUGUUCAAGUUUCGGACUUUCACUGUCACUCUACUCUGCGCUUAGGGCUUGUCCUGCAUUACUGAGGGCUGACUGUGUACGCUUGAGUAAUACCUGAGUAAUACUAUAAUGAUGUACAAUGGGAAAAAUAUUUCAAAAGGCUUUAAGAUAAAUAAAAACAAAUCAUAAUCAACAUGUUAAUUAAAUGCCCGUAACAGAAAGGAUUUCAGCUGGCUUAGGGAGACUUCCCUUAACAGGGAGAAGAAAAAUAAUGAUUUCGACGACUGAAUCUCAGCAGCUUGCCUGGUUUUGUAAAAGCCGUUCCUUAAACCUAUCGGUGUGGCAGCCUGCGUGCUUUGAGAGCGGAGUCGCACCCACCUAGAUUCCUCCUGCAUUGACUAAGCAGCAUCUUUCAUAUGUGCUUUCAACCCAAGAACGAACAUUAAUCUCGAAGAGCUACCCUCUUCUGCAGCGUCUCCCAGGCUUCCUCCACGGCCUCCCCAGAAAGCCCCCACGCACACGCCGAAGGAACACGAGCACAGGCACGUGCACGCUCAGGCGCUUCCUUAAUGAAGUCAUAGUUCCCACUAACUCCUCAAGAUAGGCAGUCCCCUGAGCCAUGUGCUGGCACAGCCUGACUCAUCAUUUGAUGCACUUCGUCGCAAGUCAAACUGAAUUUAAAUAAGUUUUGAAGAAAACCCAAGUAUUUUCAGGAACAGGCUGUCUGACCCCUAGUCACACUCGCACCGAAAUAAUACAAAAAUCCUCCUUGCUGUCUGCCUCCUGCUGCAGGCCUGUGCCCUCUGCAAGGCCAGAGGUCAGAAAGCAGCAUCACUAUUCUGAUGAAAAACAUGGUUAACAGGAAAAUUGGCUCUCCUACAGCUUGCUUCCAGGAACACUAUCAGAGGUUGCAAGGCAGGUCUAGAGCAAAGGCUACAGAGGAAAGAUAACAGAUAUACUUCUCUUCUGGGCUACAAGAGCGUACUAACAUCACGGAAGGCAUUUCGCAGUGGAAAUUUCCACAGGCAGCAGAAAUAAACACACAAGCUAGGGAGAAGCCAGCACGCAACACAGAAGUCUCUGAAAGCGCCCACAGCGUUACGUCCCGACUCCGCUGGAAGAAGAGAGCUCCGCACUCACCGUUGACCGGCAAAAUCUUCGUGCUGAAAAAUCCAGACCUGUGAAAGGCGAUGCUCAGCCGCACGACGGUCACCUCCGCGCAGCCUCGGUAGCGGUGAGGAUCGCUUCUUCCCCCGGUGGGUGCUUGGACCUGAGUGCCACCGGGAGCCGGGGCGGCAGGUAGCCGCAGGGGAGGUUGUCGCCGGCUCCAGAGGGCUGAGAGCUGCCGGUGAGGACGCGUGACGCUGAACCCACCUCCGCGUGCUGCCUUGGGUCUGCGGCGCUCGGGGGGGACCGGAGGAGGAGAGGGGAAAGAGGGGUGGAGGGAGACGAGCGUGAGCUGCCCGUAAUGAGAGGUGUGUCACUGCAGAGGGAGAAAAUGAGCCAGAUUGCAGAAGAGGAAAGCUAGGAAGGACCGCUCAGCAGAAUAGCGUUCAGGUACUAUCUUCAUCCUAGGGUAAAAACAGAAAGCAAAUAGACAGCCCUCUCCUGCUUUAACGAGUUUUAACAGCUCAGAUCAUUUCAGUUUGAAAUUUCUUUCCUAGUCCUGUUUUAGAGCAUUUCUGGUCUCCAGGAAGACUUUUUGCGUGUGCUUGUUGCGGGACCACAUAGCAUGACCUGUGUGGUCAGAACCAUGAGCCUAACUAAACCAGGCAGUAUGGGGCAGGGUUAAAAUGUCUUUGAACUCAUUUAUUCCAUCAAAUUCUAAGCAGAACAUUUGACAAAUCCACCAGCAAUAGAGAGGCAUUUUCAUUUUGGUACAGUUGAAAAUAUCCGAUUGCACUCACUUCUCGAGACCCAUCACCCCCUCUGUUCUGCCAGCUGACAGGAGUGUAUGCAUGUGUCCCCUCCAAGUCAGUUAAAAAAAAAUCACUGGAUUUGGUACAAAUUGUCUAAAGUCAGCUGGCCAGCCCCGUCUUCCUGAGGAGACAUCCUUGGGAACCCCUCAGCCAGCAGAGCAGGUCAGCAAAGCUGCGAAGAGACACUUGCUAGCCAGCUCAUAGCAUAAUUCGGGUUGCAAGGCACCUCAGGAGGACCUCCACACCAGCCUGCUCCUCCCAGAAGGAUCUGACACAUCAACAGGGAACAGUUUUGAAAUUGAAGCAAGAAAGGUUUUAGUCCUAGAACAUGUGGACUUUGUUGAGGCAAGGCUUAUAGGGAAGGCAGGUGCCGAUCUCUAAUUUGGGGAGGGUGUUCGGGAUGCUGAGAGCCUAGUGACACGCAGACUAGGCAGUACUGAUGGAAGGUGAUGGAGAACUGAAACCCCUUUAGGCUGCCCUUACCCCUAUCAAGAUGCAUAUUUUCAAUGCGUGUUUGUUCCACUUUGUUUGUUUUUCAUGAUGGAGGUUUCCAACGGGUAAUAACUUCAGCAGCUUCAAGUAAGGGCAUUUUGGAUAAACAAGCAGAAAAAUGACAAACGGCAGAAUGUUCUGUACUCUUGGAGAUAGAGCACAGGAAGAGACUUCCACAACAAAAAUAGAGCAGGUUCAUGUUUCAUAAGCAGCAGCUGGGCUCAGAAGUGAUUAUAGGAAAAUGCAAGUUGGGAGGGACCUCUGAGGCCUCAUCUGAUUCACCUCCUGCACAAAGCAAGGUCAGCUGCAAGAUCAGACCAAGUUGUUCAGGGCUAUAUCUCAGCUGAUCUUCAAAAUCUUCAAGGAUGGAGACUGCAUAAUCUCACGGGGCAACCUGUUCCACUGCUUGGCUAUCCUCGUGGGGAAAGCACUUCUCCUAGGAGGAGAGGCAGAGGGAGCAGAGCUUGGUCAGCCUGGAGAGGGGAAGGUUUUGGGGAAACCUAACAGCAGCCUACCGGUGUCUAUGAGGAAGUUAUGAAGAUGACAGAGGCAGGCUCUUGACCGUGGUGCACAGUGGGAGAAUGAGAGCCAAUGGGUGUAAGCUGAAACAGGAGAUGUUCAGACUGAAGAUAAGAAAGAACCAGCCCCGACCACGGUGGGGGCCAUCCACUGAAAUCCCUCCAGCCUGUAGAUGUCUUUCUUGUAGUGAGGACCCAAAACUGGAUGCAGUAUCUAGAUAUAGUCUAAUGAGCACGAACUAAAGGGGAUAACCACUUCCCUUGAUCUCCAGGCUGUGCUCCUGUCAAUACAGCCCAGGAUGCUGGUGGCUCUUGGCUGCCAGGGCAUGUGCCAUGACAUCUGGCUUGUGCCCACCAAGGACCCCCAGCACCUUUUCAGCAAAGCUGCUCCCCAAGCAGUCAGUCCCCAGCCCGUAUUGCUGCUGAGCUUUAUCCUUCCCUGGUGUUCAUGCAUAGACUGUAAAUUGAAUUUUAAGUCACUGGAAAGGCUGUUGAAGAUUAACAUUUUCUUUUUUGAUUAUUAUGUUUCUAUGGAUUGCUUUGUAGUUGUUUCAUGUGCAGCUAAGCUUUCUGGUGCACUGAUGAGCCUGCAUUCCUUAUAAAUGUCAUCAAACAGAUGCAGUCCAUCAGAAAGUUAAAAAAGUCUGUGCAUUUUUACCAAUUUAGAUAUUCAGUAUAAUUAGUCAAUUUGACAUCAGUUUGUUGCUGCUUUUAAAAAAAAGACAAAAAAUUUAGGUAAAAAAUUUUCCAGUUAAGAAAAACUAAAUUUACAAUUCUGUGCAUAAGGUUUUCCUGGUUCGUUUGAAAGUCCAAGCACGAAAAAGAUGGGAGAAGGUUCCUUUCUCCAUCUGUACCUGAGGGAACAGCCAGAGGCUGUUGUGUUUCAUAGAUACCUUGAAAACACACUGCAGCAAUCUGAGUUUGUUUUUAGUUACAACUGAGUUUCAUUUUCUUUGCUUUGUUAACAUCUGGAAGGCCCGAUGUUCUAAUCGAGUGAAAUGAAGUCCUAAUUUUGGGACACGUCCUGAAAGAAUGAAGUACCUUUUUCCUAAAUACAACAAGGUUUGUCAUUUCAGUUUAUAUAUUAAACAGUACUAUUAUAUUCACAGUGAAAGCACUUUGUACAAAGUGUUUUAUGUAAACUACCAGGAGGAGCACAGGUCAAACUCAGCCUGUACGGUACAGCUGUUUCUAAGAAGCCAGCAAAUUUAAAAAUCGGCAAAGGGAGCUUUGAAGUCCCCAAACACACAAAAAAGCCUGAUGAUGCAACAAACAGGCAGUACUGCGGUGCCCAGCAAACAGGCAAGCAUGGGACCGCGCACACAAGGGCAAGAGCACUGCGUAACAAAUGAGGCCUGAUUAGUGGGGAUGUGGUGCGGACACCUGGGAACAGCAAGUCUGCCCACCACCUCUCCUCCGCAAACCUUAGCUUGCCAAGACAGGAGGAGGAAAGUUUGACUCUGAUGCUAUUAACCUGUCUUUCACCUGCUCUCCGUCCUGGUACGGUUUUGUCUCCAUCAUCCUGA